AUAUGGGUCAGCAAGUUAAUAUAUUAAAACCUGAAUUUCUGGUGUAAUCUGCAGGAGCUGAACAUGGAGACAAAACCACCUGACAAACAGGAUAGCUAAGUUAUCAGUUCUCUGAAGGAUGUCUUCAGUUAUCUACAUGUACCUUGACCCUGGUUUUGUAGCCUGAUUGACUGUAGUCUAGCUAGAGGAGGGGUGUUGCCAUAGGAUGCUUACUCAUGAAGACUCUUGUGAUUUUCCUCACGAAAUUGGAGCUUAGCCCCUGGUCUUGCACAAAAUGGAGGCUACAUAGGAGGCCUAAUAAUGGAGCUUCCGAUGGAAUCAGAAGGAUCGUUGCAAGCUGUUCCUCUCACCUCCAGCUAACUCUAUGAUCCUGUGGAAAGCACUCACCUUUUUGAACGUUUAUUCUGAA
rnacentral:lncRNA from 1 species